CCUACGGGAGGCAGCAGUGAGGAAUAUUGGUCAAUGGGCGCGAGCCUGAACCAGCCAAGUAGCGUGAAUGAUGACUGCCCUACGGGUUGUAAACUUCUUUUAUAAAGGAAUAAAGUGAGGCACGUGUGCCUUUUUGUAUGUACUUUAUGAAUAAGGAUCGGCUAACUCCGUGCCAGCAGCCGCGGUAAUACGGAGGAUCCGAGCGUUAUCCGGAUUUAUUGGGUUUAAGGGGAGCGUAGAUGGGUUGUUAAGUCAGUUGUGAAAGUUUGCGGCUCAACCGUAAAAUUGCAAUUGAUACUGGCAGACUUGAGUACAGUAGAGGAAAGCGGAAUUCGUGGUGUAGCGGUGGAAUGCUUAGAUAUCACGAAGAACACCGGUUGCGAAGGCAACUUACUAAACUGCAACUGACAUUGAUGCUCGAAAGUGUGGGUAGCAAACAGGAUUAGAUACCCGGGUAGUC
rnacentral:rRNA from 1 species